GAUGAACGCUGGCGGCGUGCCUAAUACAUGCAAGUCGAGCGAACGGACGAGAAGCUUGCUUCUCUGAUGUUAGCGGCGGACGGGUGAGUAACACGUGGAUAACCUACCUAUAAGACUGGGAUAACUUCGGGAAACCGGAGCUAAUACCGGAUAAUAUUUUGAACCGCAUGGUUCAAAAGUGAAAGACGGUCUUGCUGUCACUUCUAGAUGGAUCCGCGCUGCAUUAGCUAGUUGGUAAGGUAACGGCUUACCAAGGCAACGAUGCAUAGCCGACCUGAGAGGGUGAUCGGCCACACUGGAACUGAGACACCGUCCAGACUCCUGAGGGAGGCAGCAGUAGGGUAUCUUCCGCAGUGGGCGAGAGCCUGACGGAGCAGCGCCGCGUGAGUGAUGGAGGUCUUCGGAUCGUAAAACUCUGUUAUUAGGGAAGAACAUAUGUGUAAGGAACUGUGCACAGCGUGACGGUACCUAAUCAGAAAGCCACGGCUAACUACGUG
rnacentral:rRNA from 1 species